UGUUUGCAGUGUGUUUCUAAUGUGUGGGCUCGUGAGAUGGCAGAGAGUGUUUGUGACUCUUCAUUUAAUCCCUUUAGAUUGCUGCUCACCUCUCUGUCUGAUAGGUCUGGGGGUUAAAACUGUUAGCAUAGUCCUUACCCAUGGACAGCCAUGGGCAAACUCCAUCUGGGAGUUCAGUGAAAAAUUAGGACAAGGGAUUUGGUUGAAACGAUCUGCAGGAAAUUUAUUUGUCUCCUGUCAGAAGCACAAGAGGGGAUGGAUGGUGGGUCCUGCAGUUUGGGUUCUUAAAGUGAGGGAUAAUUUUUUUUCCCCACAGAAAUGUAGGAGCAACCUUCCUCACAGGUUUUCUCAGAAAUAGACUAAGAUUCUGAGAUACUGUAAUGUAUCAAGUUUCUCAACAAAGCUGUGUGCAGGAAAGUUCAAGCUGGUUUUAGACAUAAAUACAAGGAAGCAAUAAAAUCUGUGCAGCUCUUCUGGCUUCAGUUCAUCGAUCAGACAUGGGAGAUGUGAAUGGCACACAGUAUUUCAGAGUCUUGCUGAAGGCUGUGAAUGUGUUUGCCUAAGUGACAGAGCAUAACUCCUGGUUCCAUUAGGAAAAUGGUUGCCACAGUGAUAAGAUAGCCCAGUUUUGUCAACAAUGG